UUGUCUUAAUAGGUCAUGAAUCUCAAUGUUACUAAAAUGCUCUUGAAAUUAAACAUGAGUCCUGAAAAUGGCAAUCAAUAUUUCAAUACCAUAGGUUCCCCUCUGUCCAACCCCCCUCCCAAAGUUAAAGCUUAAAAAAGAUUACUUACCUCAUUUCUAGAGCUGUGACUCCUCUUCUGCAGGCUCCAUCUCCCCCACUAGUAAUUUUAGAUUCCAAGUAUCUUCAAAGAGAAGC